rnacentral:rRNA from 1 species
GACGAACGCUGGCGGCGUGCUUAACACAUGCAAGUCGAGCGGUAAGGCUCCUUCGGGAGUACACGAGCGGCGAACGGGUGAGUAGCACGUGAGUAAUCUGCCCUUCACUUCGGGAUAACCACCGGAAACGGUGGCUAAUACCGAAUACGACCAGUCUUCGCAUGAGGUGCUGGUGGAAAGUCUUUUCGGUGAAGGAUGUGCUCGCGGCCUAUCAGCUUGUUGGUGGGGUAAUGGCCUACCAAGGCUUCGACGGGUAGCCGGCCUGAGAGGGUGACCGGCCACACUGGGACUGAGACACGGCCCAGACUCCUACGGGAGGCAGCAGUGGGGAAUAUUGGACAAUGGGCGAAAGCCUGAUCCAGCAACGCCGCGUGAGGGAUGACGGCCUUCGGGUUGUAAACCUCUUUCAGUACCGACGAAGCGCCCUGUCGGGUGGUGACGGUAGGUACAGAAGAAGGACCGGCCAACUACGUG